rnacentral:rRNA from 1 species
GAAGAUCUAGUGGCGAACGGGUGAGGAUCACGUGAGAAACCUGCCCCAGACUCUGGGAUAACAAUUGGAAACGAUUGCUAAUACCGGAUGACGUCGGAGAACCGCAUGGUUCACUGACGAAAGAUAUUUCGGUUUGGGAGGGUCUCGCGGCCUAUCAGCUUGUUGGUGGGGUAAUGGCCUACCAAGGCAACGACGGGUAGCUGGUCUGAGAGGAUGAUCAGCCACACUGGGACUGAGACACGGCCCAGACUCCUACGGGAGGCAGCAGUGGGGAAUCUUGCGCAAUGGGCGAAAGCCUGACGCAGCAACGCCGCGUGCGGGAUGAAGGCCUUCGGGCUGUAAACCGCUUUCAGCAGGAACGAAAAUGACGGUACCUGCAGAGGAAGGAGCGGCCAACUACGUGCCAGCAGCCGCGGUGACACGUAGGCUCCAAGCGUUGUCCGGAUUUAUUGGGCGUAAAGAGCUCGUAGGCGGUUUAGUAAGUCGGGUGUGAAAACUCUGGGCUUAACCCGGA